rnacentral:lncRNA from 1 species
GGACAUUUCCCCAUUCAUUAGCGUGGGGCCCACCCCAUUAAGGUAUCCUAUUGAAGGGUGCCUUAAUGACGUGGGCCCACCCAAGUAACGGCUGGGAGUCGGCGACUCAGGUAUGGGAAUCGCCAAUCCAAAGGUUCUGUCGCCGACUCCCCAUGAGCCAAAUGGCAGUCUACCAGAACUGACCACGAGGCCUAGAGUCAGCGAUUCACCCCUGGAGUCGGCGAAUCCCAGGUGCUGCCUUGAGUAUUUGACGUAGACACUUCUUCCGAAUUCGUG